AACGAACGCUGGCGGCAUGCCUAACACAUGCAAGUCGAACGGGAUCCUGGCUUCGGUCAGGUGAGAGUGGCGGACGGGUGAGUAACGCGUGGGAACCUGCCCAGUGGUGGGGGAUAACUGCGGGAAACUGCAGCUAAUACCGCAUGAGCCCGAGAGGGGAAAGAUUUAUCGCCAUUGGAGGGGCCCGCGUUCGAUUAGGUAGUUGGUGAGGUAACGGCUCACCAAGCCGACGAUCGAUAGCUGGUCUGAGAGGAUGAUCAGCCACACUGGGACUGAGAUACGGCCCAGACUCCUACGGGAGGCAGCAGUGGGGAAUAUUGGACAAUGGGGGGCAACCCUGAUCCAGCAAUGCCGCGUGAGUGAUGAAGGCCUUCGGGUUGUAAAGCUCUUUUGCCGGGGACGAUGAUGACGGUACCCGGAGAAUAAGCCCGGCUAACUUCGUGCCAGCAGCCGCGGUAAU
rnacentral:rRNA from 1 species